rnacentral:piRNA from 1 species
UCCUUACAAACUGGGUGCUCCGUAGGGU